UACGAAGGGGGCUAGCGUUGCUCGGAAUCACUGGGCGUAAAGCGCACGUAGGCGGCUUCUCAAGUCAGGGGUGAAAUCCUGGAGCUCAACUCCAGAACUGCCUUUGAUACUGAGGGGCUCGAGUCCGGGAGAGGUGAGUGGAACUGCGAGUGUAGAGGUGAAAUUCGUAGAUAUUCGCAAGAACACCAGUGGCGAAGGCGGCUCAUUGGCCCGGUACUGACGCUGAGGUGCGAAAGCGUGGGGAGCAAACAGG
rnacentral:rRNA from 1 species